AACGCACGAGACCUGCGGACCUGCGGAAGGAUCAUUACAUGGCGGAGAAGGUGGGCAACCUGGCCAACAUCCAGGUUGUGAUGCCUUCACGCUCUUCCACCCUUGUCUAUUUGCACCUUCUGUCGUUCCCUCGGCGGGUUUCGACCCGCCGGCGGCAACAUUGAAAAACCCUUUUUGCAGUUAGCAUUCAAUUCUUCUGAUCAAAUAUUAAAUCAUUACAACUUUUAACAAUGGAUCUCU
rnacentral:misc_RNA from 1 species